rnacentral:rRNA from 1 species
GAUGAACGCUGGCGGCGUGCCUAAUACAUGCCAGUCGAGCGAACGGACGAGAAGCUUGCUUCUCUGAUGUUAGCGGCGGACGGGUGAGUAACACGUGGAUAACCUACCUAUAAGACUGGGAUAACUUCGGGAAACCGGAGCUAAUACCGGAUGAUAUUUUGAACCGCAUGGUUCAAAAGUGAAAGACGGUCUUGCUGUCACUUAUAGAUGGAUCCGCGCUGCAUUAGCUAGUUGGUAAGGUAACGGCUUACCAAGGCAACGAUGCAUAGCCGACCUGAGAGGGUGAUCGGCCACACUGGAACUGAGACACGGUCCAGACUCCUACGGGAGGCAGCAGUAGGGAAUCUUCCGCAAUGGGCGAAAGCCUGACGGAGCAACGCCGCGUGAGUGAUGAAGGUCUUCGGAUCGUAAAACUCUGUUAUUAGGGAAGAACAGAUGUGUAAGUAACUGUGCACGUCUUGACGGUACCUAAUCAGAAAGCCACGGCUAACUACGUG